CACAAUUCACUCCCACUCUAGAGAAUGGCUUAUGAUGCUCAAACAUGCCCAAGCCCCUGAGGACAGUUCACCAAAGGCUUUCAGAGAGGCCAUGAUGUCUGAGGAAAACCAAGGCAGCCAGUUGUUAAAGGCGUACCUGGAGCUCAGCCUUCUAUUUUACUGCUUCUUCCAGUAAAUGCCACUCCGAAUGUAAGAUUGA